rnacentral:piRNA from 1 species
UAGAAAGACAAUCUCUUUCUGGCCACUGC